GACGAACGCUGGCGGCGUGCCUAAUACAUGCAAGUUGAGCGCUGAAGGUUGGUACUUGUACCAACUGGAUGAGCAGCGAACGGGUGAGUAACGCGUGGGGAAUCUGCCUUUGAGCGGGGGACAACAUUUGGAAACGAAUGCUAAUACCGCAUAAAAACUUUAAACACAAGUUUUAAGUUUGAAAGAUGCAAUUGCAUCACUCAAAGAUGAUCCCGCGUUGUAUUAGCUAGUUGGUGAGGUAAAGGCUCACCAAGGCGAUGAUACAUAGCCGACCUGAGAGGGUGAUCGGCCCCAUUGGGACUGAGACACGGCCCAAACUCCUACGGGAGGCAGCCGUAGGGAAUCUUCGGCAAUGGACGAAAGUCUGACCGAGCAACGCCGCGGGAGUGAAGAAGGUUUUCGGAUCGUAAAACUCUGUUGGUAGGGAAGAACGUUGGUUAGAGUGGAAAGCUCAUCAAGUGACGGUAACUACCCAGAAAGGGACGGCUAACUACGUG
rnacentral:rRNA from 1 species